rnacentral:lncRNA from 1 species
GAAGUAUUUGUACUUAUACAAUAUGGCAGUUUAAGAUUUGGACUGUUCUAUCUUAAAUUCCGACAUUGUACUUUGGAUUGUUUUACAAAAUCAGAAUAUAAGUCUUCUGACCAUAAUAAUCGGAUGGUUGAAAUUGCAUGACUGCAUGAAUGCACGGUUUUCUCAACUUCAAAAAUCCAAUUCCAUAGUCUAUAUCAAGCAUUAGAAGGUGAAAGGGGUGGAAGAAAAUAGAUAAGACAUGGAUAAUAUAUACUCAUCUUGUGUCAAAUAUAACCUUAGAAAAUUAUAUAAACACAACUAAUCCUUUUUUUUUUUGUCUUAACCCUUCACUUCUCAUAUCUGAUUAUAUAUUGUAUGAAUAUAUGUGAAGUACUUUGCUAUGUGGCCUUUGUGCAAUUUUAGAUAUAAAUCAGAUAAUUACACUUUAGUCCCUCUACUAUGAUGAUCAAUGUGCAAGUUUCAACAAUAUAUUUGAUGAGGAAGUAGGUUAACAUUUUCAUUGGUUCAUGUGAAAUUUUCAUGUGCAUGCU